CCGAGCCAAGUACAAACAUUGUCUUCUAAAACACUUAUGCUAUAAUAAAUUCGAAAUAAUUAUACAAAUUUAUAUUAUAUAAAUUUAAUAUUUAUACAAAAUAUUAGAGUCUUCGUUAGGAUUAAUCCAACCAAACUGAAAAAAACAAUCAAAUUAAACCAAUUCAAUUAGUUUAAAUUUUUUUCUUAAUUAAAUCUAAC
rnacentral:lncRNA from 1 species